AACGAACGCUGGCGGCAGGCUUAACACAUGCAAGUCGAACGGGUGUAGCAAUACAUCAGUGGCAGACGGGUGAGUAACACGUGGGAACCUUCCUAGGGGUACGGAACAACUCAGGGAAACUUGAGCUAAUACCGUAUACGUCCGAGAGGAGAAAGAUUUAUCGCCCUUAGACGGGCCCGCGUCGGAUUAGGUAGUUGGUGGGGUAACGGCCUACCAAGCCUACGAUCCGUAGCAGAUCUUAGAGGAUGAUGAGCCACACUGGGACUGGGACACGGCCCAGACUCCUACGGGAGGCAGCAGUGGGGAAUCUUGGACAAUGGGCGCAAGCUUGAUCCAGCCAUGCCGCGUGAGUGAAGAAGGCCUUAGGGUUGUAAAGCUCUUUUACCAGGGACGAUAAUGACGGUACCUGGAGAAUAAGCCCCGGCAAACUUCGUGCCAGCCGCCGCGGUAACAC
rnacentral:rRNA from 1 species